rnacentral:rRNA from 1 species
GGGGAAUAUUGCGCAAUGGGGGAAACCCUGACGCAGCAACGCCGCGUGAAGGAAGAAGGUCUUCGGAUUGUAAACUUCUUUGAUGAGGGACGAAGGAAGUGACGGUACCUCAAAAACAAGCCACGGCUAACUACGUGCCAGCAGCCGCGGUAAUACGUAGGUGGCGAGCGUUGUCCGGAAUUACUGGGUGUAAAGGGCGCGUAGGCGGGGAGGCAAGUCAGAUGUGAAAUACCGAGGCUUAACUUCGGGGCUGCAUCUGAAACUGUUUUUCUUGAGUGUCGGAGAGGAAAGCGGAAUUCCCAGUGUAGCGGUGAAAUGCGUAGAUAUUGGGAGGAACACCAGUGGCGAAGGCGGCUUUCUGGACGACAACUGACGCUGAGGCGCGAAAGCGUGGGGAGCAAAC